ACGCCAUCUUGAUUUCCUUCCUUUCCUGUUUUUAAUUGCUUUCCAGGUUUGGUACAUUUUUUUCUCUCAUGUACAUUUUAUAAUGCUGUAAUGAGGCAAUCUUCUUAGAAGGUGGUAUAUAAAUAAGUCAAAACAAUACAGUACAAUACAAUUGAAAGGCACCUCAGGAGCUGUAAUAAGGGCUUCCUAUCUGUAUUUUGUCCUACUUUCUCCACCUGUCAUCCCCCUCUGCAGGUUGCUGUUUUUGCCGGCAACGGAGAGAUGUAUUGAUCCCUGGAUCUUGGCUCAGACAGCAGCUUGAAAGUCUCAACAAAUAACUCUGUGAGAAGUGCUGGAGGGCAACAAGGUCACCAUGGCAAUUUCUGUGAAUGAGGCUUCUAUCAAAAUUGCAGAAGGAUGCCAAUAUGCUCAGCGAAGCUGUGUCCAGAAUUAACCUCAGCAAAGUCUCAUUGCCAGAAGUGGAAAUGAUGUGGCUAGAGUCCUCACACAUCCGUAUUACUUCACUAUAUAGAAACAAACUUGGAGAGUGAACACCUGAUACAGAAGAUGAAUAGUAUCUUCCAGUG
rnacentral:lncRNA from 1 species